rnacentral:rRNA from 1 species
GGACGAACGCUGGCGGCGUGCCUAACACAUGCAAGUCGAACGGAGUUAAGACUUCGGUUUUAACUUAGUGGCGAACGGGUGAGUAACGCGUGAGAAACCUGCCUUUCAGUGGGGGACAACAGUUGGAAACGACUGCUAAUACCGCAUAAUGUUAUUUGGGGGCAUCCCCGAAUAACCAAAGCUUUAUGUGCUGAAAGAUGGUCUCGCGUCUGAUUAGCUAGUUGGUGAGGUAACGGCUCACCAAGGCGACGAUCAGUAGCCGGUCUGAGAGGAUGAACGGCCACAUUGGGACUGAGAUACGGCCCAGACUCCUACGGGAGGCAGCAGUGGGGAAUAUUGGGCAAUGGGGGAAACCCUGACCCAGCAACGCCGCGUGAAGGAAGAAGGCCUUCGGGUUGUAAACUUCUUUUACCAGGGACGAAGAACGUGACGGUACCUGGAGAAAAAGCAACGGCUAACUACGUG